GGGAGCAUUCAAAAGUACCAAACAUCUCUAGAUUUUCCCCUUCUAACAAAGACAAAUCUAUACAGGCAUCAAGCCCUACUUGGAAUUUGACCUACAUAACAUAUAUUAAAGGCCAAUACAUUACAACUUUGAUUUCAAGAUUAUCCAGGACCUACUUAAAAUUCCAAUAAACAAGAGUUUCUCCAAGAUCGUAGAAUGCUAUUCCUUUGAACACAACAUGUAUAGGCUGGGCUAAACUUUUACCUUCUCAAUGAUCAUUGGAAGAUCCAAGACAUACUGAAUGAUGACUUGAAAUCACCCCAAGUCGUAAUUUGAAAGCAUCUGACUGUAACUAGAUGACUUUUAGUUUGUAUUGAAGUAGACUAGUCAUGUUUGCCAUCUGAAUAAUCUACCAGCCAAUUUGCUCUCCAAACGACUGAUGAUGAUAGUAGACGUUCAGUCUUCCAUCCUGAUGACUGAAGCUUCAAAACAAAGACUUCAUAAUGCUUAUCCAUCCAUGAUUGGCUUUCCGAAGACAUGGAUCCAUCUUGAUCAUCUAGUUUUGCCAUGACAAGAGCAUGGAUGAAUGAUUGUAAUAUAUCAGCUCCUGCUGAAUCCUUAUGAGUAAUAAUCCUGAUAAUACCCCCUUUUUGUUGAAGUAAAUAUUUCUCUUUCUUGUAAUGUGAUCCAGCAGAUUGUAAUAGGUCAACCAUAGCAAGGCUGUCAAGUGAAGAAACUCUGACACCUAAACGUACUUGCUUGUAUAGAGAAUCACCACCCUUUAAGUUCCAUGAGGUCAUCCAUAAAGGUAGAACGUGCUCCAUGGAAGAGACGUGCUUUGGAGAGAGAACUUGACCUGUCUUGACGAAAUGUGAUAAAACAAUGGAGCAUCUUUCACAGUUCAGAGUAUUCAGCGAAAGACAACAGACAGCCUUGUAGUUUGCAUACAUAUGGAACAUAGUAAGAGACAAAAAGGAUAUCCAAAUGGCAAAUGAGUGGCCAAUUGUUAGGCGUGCAAGAAGCAUUCCUAAAGCCAUCCCAAUCAUCGUAGCUAGAGUUUCUUGGCUUCCUUCCUUUGCAGCUAUAUCUGCUGCAUUGUUUUCAAGGGCAAAGUGCUGCGUCAAAGCUGCUCUAGUGGCUCCACUGGCAACACCAGUGAAUGACCUUGAUAAACUCCCUAAGCAGACGAUGAACACAAAGGCUGAUGGAAAUAAAGGAGAUACAAGAUCCAUCAACAUUCCGAGAUCAUUCAUGAGAUCUGCCACCAA
rnacentral:misc_RNA from 1 species